AACUUUCGACAAUGGAUCACUUGGCUCUCGCAUCGAUGAAGAACGCAGCGAAAUGCGAUAAGAAAUGUGAAUUGCAGAAUUCAGUGAAUCAUCGUAUCUUUGAACGCACCUUGCACCCUUUGGUAUUCCGAAGGGUAUGCUCGUUUGAGUGUCAUUGUACUCUCACACUCUCUGAUCCUUUGGAUUCGGGGAGCGGUGGACUUGGGUGUUUUGCUGCAUUCCUUGUGGCUCACCUCAAAUGCGUCAGUGCUCCUCUGGGUUGGACAUAGUACGGCGUGAUAAGUGUCUUCGCCGGCACCUCGCAAGAGGGUGGCCGAUCGAGAGCUCUGUGCUUUCAAGCCGUCCUCGGACAAUCUCUGACAACUUGACCUCAAAUCGAGUAGGACUACCCGCUGAACUUAAGCAUAUCAAUAAGCGGAGGCU
rnacentral:misc_RNA from 1 species